rnacentral:rRNA from 1 species
UACGGGGGGAGCAAGCGUUGUUCGGAUUUACUGGGCGUAAAGGGCGCGUAGGCGGCCACCGCAAGUCGACUGUGAAAUCUCCGGGCUUAACCCGGAAAGGUCAGCCGAUACUGCGGGGCUAGAGUGCAGAAGGGGCAACUGGAAUUCUCGGUGUAGCGGUGAAAUGCGUAGAUAUCGAGAGGAACACCUGCGGCGAAGGUGGGUUGCUGGGCUGACACUGACGCUGAUGCGCGAAAGCUAGGGGAGCGAACGGG